UUCCAUUAAUACCAUCAAUGGAGAAAUGCGAAGAUAUUGUGGUUGUAGGAGGGGGAGUUGCAGGGCUAGCCACUGCACUUGCUCUCCAUAGGGUGGGGUUGAGGAGCCUGGUACUUGAGCGUGCUGAUUGCCUUCGAACUGCUGGCGCUGCCUUCAUGAUGUGGCCUAAUGCCUGGAAAGCACUUGAUGCUCUCAGCGUAUCAGAUUCCUUUUCGCCCAUUUUACUCUCAACUUGACGGGAUUCGGGGCUCUUCAAAUUGCAUUGGUGUCUCCAAGAAUGUCCCCCUGAAAAGUGUAGGC